UACGUAGGGGGCAAGCGUUAUCCGGAUUCACUGGGUGUAAAGGGAGCGUAGACGGCGGUGCAAGCCAGAUGUGAAAGCCCGGGGCUCAACCCCGGGACUGCAUUUGGAACUGUGCUGCUAGAGUGUCGGAGAGGCAGGCGGAAUUCCUAGUGUAGCGGUGAAAUGCGUAGAUAUUAGGAGGAACACCAGUGGCGAAGGCGGCCUGCUGGACGAUGACUGACGUUGAGGCUCGAAAGCGUGGGGAGCAAACAGG
rnacentral:rRNA from 1 species